rnacentral:rRNA from 1 species
UACGAAGGGGGGCUAGCGUUGCUCGGAUUGACUGGGCGUAAAGGGCGCGUAGGCGGUUCGUACAGUCAGACGUGAAAUUCCUGGGCUCAACCUGGGGGGCUGCGUUUGAUACGUGCGGACUUGAGUGCGGAAGAGGGUCGUGGAAUUCCCAGUGUAGAGGUGAAAUUCGUAGAUAUUGGGAAGAACACCGGUGGCGAAGGCGGCGAUCUGGGAAGAUACUGACGCUGAGGUGCGAAAGCGUGGGGAGCAAACAGG